rnacentral:rRNA from 1 species
ACGGGAGGCAGCAGUAGGGAAUUUUCGGCAAUGGGGGAAACCCUGACCGAGCAGCGCCGCGUGAAUGAUGAAGUAUUUCGGUAUGUAAAAUUCUUUUAUUAGAGACGAACAAUCUGAUCAGGAAAUGGGUUAGAAAUGACUGUAUCUAAUGAAUAGGCCCCGGCUAACUACGUGCCAGCAGCCGCGGUAAUACGUAGGGGGCAAGCGUUAUCCGGAAUUAUUGGGCGUAAAGGGUGCGUAGGCGGCAAAUUAAGUCUGAGGUGAAAGUGCGGGGCUCAACCCCGUGAUGCCUUGGAAACUGGUUAGCUAGAGUAUGGUAGAGGCAAGUGGAACUCCAUGUGUAGCGGUAAAAUGCGUAAAUAUAUGGAAGAACACCAGUGGCGAAGGCGGCUUGCAGGGCCAAAACUGACGCUGAGGCACGAAAGCGUGGGGAGCAAACAGGAUUAGAUACCCUGGUA